rnacentral:rRNA from 1 species
UACAGAGGUCUCAAGCGUUGUUCGGAUUCAUUGGGCGUAAAGGGUGCGUAGGUGGCGCCGUAAGUCGGGUGUGAAAUUUCGGAGCUUAACUCCGAAACUGCAUUCGAUACUGCGGUGCUUGAGGACUGGAGAGGCGACUGGAAUUCAUGGUGUAGCAGUGAAAUGCGUAGAGAUCAUGAGGAAGACCAGUGGCGAAGGCGGGUCUCUGGACAGUUCCUGACACUGAGGCACGAAGGCCAGGGGAGCAAACGGG